UACGUAGGGUGCAAGCGUUGUCCGGAAUUAUUGGGCGUAAAGAGCUCGUAGGCGGUCUGUCACGUCUGCUGUGAAAACUCGGGGCUUAACCCCGGGCCUGCAGUGGGUACGGGCAGACUAGAGUGCGGUAGGGGAGACUGGAAUUCCUGGUGUAGCGGUGAAAUGCGCAGAUAUCAGGAGGAACACCGAUGGCGAAGGCAGGUCUCUGGGCCACUACUGACGCUGAGAAGCGAAAGCAUGGGGAGCGAACAGG
rnacentral:rRNA from 1 species